GAUGAACGCUGGCGGCGUGCUUAACACAUGCAAGUCGAACGGAAAGGCUCCUGCUUGCCGGGGUCCUCGAGUGGCGAACGGGUGAGUAACACGUGGGUGAUCUGCCCUGCACUUCGGGAUAAGCAUGGGAAACUGGGUCUAAUACCGGAUAGGACGAUGGAUUGGAUGCCAUUGUGGAAAGUUUUUCGGUGUGGGAUGAGCUCGCGGCCUAUCAGCUUGUUGGUGGGGUAAUGGCCUACCAAGGCGUCGACGGGUAGCCGGCCUGAGAGGGUGUACGGCCACAUUGGGACUGAGAUACGGCCCAGACUCCUACGGGAGGCAGCAGUGGGGAAUAUUGCACAAUGGGCGCAAGCCUGAUGCAGCGACGCCGCGUGGGGGAUGACGGCCUUCGGGUUGUAAACUCCUUUCGCUAGGGACGAAGCGCAAGUGACGGUACCUGGAGAAGAAGCACCGGCUAACUACGUG
rnacentral:rRNA from 1 species